UGAUAAAAACAAGAUUACCAAAUUUCCACGUGAUUUUCAGAAAAAAGCAAAAUAAAAAACAGAUGAAUACCAGAUAUAACUAAGUAAUAUGCAACAAAUGGAAACUUGUUGGUAAUCCUGUUUUUAUCAAGGAAGACAUUUCAUGCUAAGAAAAUUGUUGUGCUUAGCAGCUCUAUGAAGUUGGGCCCAUAUGGUAGCUCUGGGACAUCGUCAAGACAUGUUCGGUCUCAGGUAAUGUAUGUGGUGAACCUGACUUUGGCUAUAUGAUGUGACACCAAUUAACUGUCUACAUAAUAUUUUCUUACAGAUGGCUGGCCAUGUUUCUUAGAAAAUGAAGUAGUGUGUGUGCUGACAUCUUCGCUGAGCUGAAAGGACACCUAUACCAGCAGAGAAUGGAGGCGUGCAAAGGAUGUGGUAAUGUAUCUAGUUAUAAACAACUGGUGAGGAAACUACCCUUCGAGAUAGGACAACUCAAUCAAACAAUUAUUUGGAAGAUCAUAAGAAAUCUACUUGUGAGGAAAAAGGAAACAUUUCAACCCAAAAUCAUUUAAGGAAACAUGCAACCCAAAAUAAUUUUUUGUUUCAAGAUUAUUUCAAAACGUUUUAGCAGUCAAAUCACUAAAAUUAUGUUGAAAUUCUACACAGGUGUGACCAGCCACUGGCCGAGGUAAAACAACUUCAUACCCAGUUAAACAUUUCUAUUUGUUUGUAAAAUCCAAACAAAUUGAAAUCCUUUUUGAAACAUCGAUUUAAUCAAAUUUGUUAUAAAGAUGUUUUUUGAAUGCACCUACAAAUAGUAAAGUUCUCUCUGUUUUGAGUUGUUUCUUGUGCAGUGUUGACUACCGUACCUAUUUGAAGGGUACAUGGAAUGGACUAAUGGACAUGUGUGAGCUUCAUUGGAGGAUACAUGUAGUUGUGACUAUGGACCUCUCUGGAUGAACAUUGGCUGACGGUACAGAUUGAGAGGCCAUCUUGGAGCUAAUCAAUGCCUUUGUGAAACCAGAUGAAGACUGAAUGACGAUUUCAAGCCAGAUGACACUCUGCAACAAGUUCAACUUUUCACUGUGACGUGGAUGAUGAGGCAAGCCAACGCUUUGGGGCAGGUGCAAAGAGUCGACAACAGACCACUUGAUUGAGACGAUGACCUUGGAGAUGACAUCUUGAGGCUAUAACCGCCAGUUUUUGGACUGUCACCUCCAUCCAGCUGAAGAAGAGCUGUCUAACCAGAGGACUAUGAUGUUACAAAUUCAACCGCUCAAGUGACAUUUACAUGUGGAUGUUUUGAGGCCAACAUUCUUUUGGGACAAUUAUGUACAAAGAAUCAACAGUUAGUUUGAAGAAACCAACUUUUGGACUGUGUGCCAACAGCUGAAGACGUCACUGCCAGAUGUCUCCACAAGAAUUUGAACUGUUCAAUCUCUUUUUGCUCAAUGGUUUAAGUGAGUGAGGGAUGCUAAUAACCACUGCUCUUGUGCAACCAGCUGAAUCAAAGGACUGUCAAGUCCAGCUAGAUGCAUGUGUAUUAACUAUAGUUUGAUGGGCUCUCAUAAACUGAAGAAAGACUGUCAAGUCUAUAUACAAGAGGAAUUCCCGGUGGGUAAACUGAAACAAGCUGGACAAUGAGGGCGCCUUACUGUAUGACGUCACUCAAGAUGAUCAUCUUGGACUAUCUGAAUGUGUGUCUGUGGCUAUAUGGCUGCAUAUGUUGCUAUGGAUACAAUGACGAUCAAGCCGCAUCAAAGGCCACUUAUUCUGAUACGGUUCUAGUUUAUUGUUAACUCAAUAGGCAUUUACUGAAAUCCAUUAAACUCUAUUACCAAUAUUAUAACUCACAUCUGUUGAUAAAUGGCGGCCUCAUGAAAAAUAGUUUUGGUUCAUCAUGAAAAAUCUAAUCCAUUCCAAGUACAAUAUCCUUUGGAUUUUGAUGGAAUCAGAAUAGAUAGGACUCUAGAGAUGGUGUUGCUUGUGUAUAAGAGAAACAAAGCCACAAUCAAAUAAGGUUAUCACACAAUAUUAGUUGAGUUGUAUAAUUAUUUAUUUUAUAAACAUUUUGACAGCGAAAUAAGUGAAAUUAAUGUCAACAACUACAUGUUUGUUGCAGCAGAAGUUUGAACAAAAUGUGACCAAAACAAGUCACCCAAAAGUUCCCCCCCCC